ensembl:misc_RNA 7SK 7SK RNA
GGAUGCGAGGCUGAUCUGGCUGUGACUUCUGUCACCCCAUUGGUUACGAGGGUUGGUUCUGCUGGUCUGGCUCCCUAGGUGGGUGUCCCUGCCUCCCUCACAGCCCCAUGGGCGUCCCUCCCAAAGCUGUGUGCUCAGUCAAAGAGGAUGACCUGCCCCGGUAGAGAAGAACCAUACUUACCUCAUGGGUACACGAGUAGCUGUGCUUCCCUACCAGGACCUCCAGACGAGCGCUCAGGGUCCAUCUUUGGGAGAAUGUAGGGGAGUCAAGCUUCCAAGACUCUAGACAUAUCCACUGAGGUACUGCACGUGGGGUCUACUUUCUUUU